UAUCAACAAAUACAAUAUACCUGUAAAACUGUCUUUGUUAUAUUCUCAUAGUUUCAGAAUUCAUGAUUUCUUGAAACGUUUCUCUCUCUUUGCUGUUUUAAACAGUUUUCUUUGUGUGAGGUUUCUUUUAAAAUAAAUAUGUGUAAUGUGAAAAUUAAGUUUUGUCUUUCAAUUCUUAAUGCUAAAAAUACGAUUAUGAUAAUCAUGAUUUAAAAUUAUUAAACACUUUAAGUCACUUUAGUGAAAUCAUCUUCUGCAUUUAAUAAGGUGUGCUGUGAUGUUUUACAUGAAAAAAGGUUCAUUUUCAGUGGUUAGAGGUUUGAUCAGAGUGCAGGAGGUUUUUGUAUGGCCACUUAAUGAGUUUGUAUCACUGUGGUGGACUUUUGGUGGAGGAACCAAACUCAUCGUUGACUUGGGUGUGUUGAGGCCUACCCUCACUGUCCUCCCUCCAUCCAAAGAUGAAGAGAAGCAGUGCAGUGCCACUCUGGUGUGUUUGGCCACCGGCGGCUUCCCUUCAAACUGGAAGCUGGGCUGGAAGGUGGGGAGCACCAGCACAUCCUCAGGUGUGUUAAGCAGCCUGGAGGUCUUGGGGACAGACGGUCGCUACAGCUGGAGCAGCACCCUGAGCCUCUCUGCAGACCAGUGGAGGAAGGCGGGCUCAGUGAGCUGUGAGGCCAGUCUGACUGGACAGAGCCCCGUCGCUCAAACCCUGGACCCUGACCACUGCUCAGAGUAGAGCUUCAGCAACACUUCCUGUCUCCAAAUAACACUGUGUUUCCUCUGUUGCAAUAUUUCUGAAAAAAAAAAUCAUUCUCCAUUGAUGUGCAUGCAAAUUUCACCAACCAAUCUUAUCCAUAUUCUGCUUUAAAAAUAUGCUGUUAAAAAAACAAGUCAUAACAAAAUAAAAGCUUCUGAAAAAUCACUUUUCUGUAAUCAUUGUGCCAAUACUUUAUUGCACAUAAAUGCUUA